CCUACGGGAGGCAGCAGUGGGGAAUCUUGGACAAUGGGGGCAACCCUGAUCCAGCGAUGCCGCGUGGGUGAAGAAGGCCUUCGGGUUGUAAAGCCCUUUAGGUUGGGACGAAGGUUAUUAGGGGACAAUCCUAGUAAUUUGACGGUACCAACAGAAUAAGCACCGGCAAACUCUGUGCCAGCAGCCGCGGUAAU
rnacentral:rRNA from 1 species